rnacentral:lncRNA from 1 species
GCCAAAGAUAAAGAAACACCUAUCCUAUAAUAAUUUAGAGCAAUAUACCUCCAUAAUGGAACAUCUAUAUAUAUAAAGGGUCUAUGUAACAAAACGUUCCUGCCGCAGAUGUCAUGUGGAAUUGCGUGACGCUAUCAGCUAUCGAUGCGGGGACUAACCGCGCUAAACCAACGUCGCUGAUCUUGCUCACGUAGUUUUUGUCUAAGAGUAUAUUGGCUGGUUUUAGGUCGCGGUGAACUAAAGGUUCUGGCUUAGCUUGAUGAAGGAAUGAGAGUGCGGUAGCAAUCUCCGCCGCUAUUUCAAAACGUUUCCUCCACGAAAGCGGUGGAGAGUUUCCAGUACGAAAAAGUCUAUCCUCUAAGCUCCCAUUUUCCAUGAACUCGUAAACCAAACAUCCAUAUUCAGGACAUGCACCAAGGAGAAGAACCAUGUGAGGAUGCCUUAUGGAACAUAGAACCUCAACCUAUAAAAUAAGAACAAAAAUAUGUAUGAUUUACGCAAAAGCAUAAAACAAAAUAGAAAAUAGAUAAAAUCUUACUUCUUGUUGAAAUUGUUUUUUUCCUUGAGCAGCAUCAGGUCUUAAAACUUUAAUGGCAACAGGAGUGUGGUCAAGUUCACCAUUGUACACAGGUCCAUAUCCUCCUUCACCAAUCUUCCUAUGAUUUGCAAACCUCUCUGUAGCUUCUUCGAUCUCUUCUAUACUAUAUUUUCUGUAGCGAACAUCGUUAUGUGCCAAAGCACUCACUGCGCGGUCUUUGUCCUUUUCUUCACUUACAGCUUUCAUCUCUGCUUGCUUCCUUCUUUGUCCUUCUAGUUCAGCCAUUCUUUGAGCUUUCUCAGCUGCUUCUACGGCUGUUCUACACUUUGCUUUCUCGAUUUCAGCAACUGCCAAUGCUGCUUCUUCAGAAAGCCUCGCUUUCUCGAAUUUACGAGCUUCUUCUAUCUUCCAUUGAUUUAGCUCGUUUGCCUAGAAAAUAAAAGAAGCCAUGAGUACCGUGCUCAACAAGAAACUUGCUCAAAUUAAACUAUUUACCUUUCUUUUUGCCGUAAGUGCUUCUUUACAAGCUGAGCUAUACAUGUCCAUAGUUUGCUUAAGUUCAAGCUUUAGCCUUCUCAUCUCAGCUUCAAUAUCUUUCUGCAAAUAAAGCAACAACCAUAUUUACAUUUAGAGCCUUUCAAACUUAAUUCUUGAACCUAAAAAGAAAUUCGUUCAAGAAAACGUACAGUUGAUUGUGGAAUUGACUCUUCUGAAGAACUCGAUGCACCAUGAUAAAAAUCCAUACUAUUUUGAGAAGAGAGAUCAACUGAACCCAUCACUCCAAACCCACCAUCAGAUUCAUCAGAAAACGAACUUUGUAACGUGGGAUUUCUUUGGAAGGCAGCUUGAUUAAAGCCGUUGUUGAAAUCCAUCGACCCAUUUAUAGGGCUUUUGUAACCUUUUUGCGUCGUGUUGAAGGCGGCACGAUUAUGCGGAUAAGUAGUCUCAUUAGGUUUGUUCCUUGCACUACGCUGGACCCUAAAACGUAUCAAGAAAACAAUAACAUUUGCUUUUAGUAAAAGUUUUGAGAGAAAACUGAUAAAAAGAACCGAAGGUUGGGUUACCUAGGUAUGAGAUCUUGCUCGCUAUCGGAUAAAGAUUGGAUUAAAAAGCCAGAGGAUGGAACACGAGGCGGGGCAAGCGUAUUGGUGAUAGGUCUUUGAGCUGGUCGGGAAGACUGAACUUUCCCUCCUUUAGAAAUGACAUACACCGAACAAAAAUCAGGCGUCGAUUUCAUUAUGCUAGAUUGCACCUCAUGUGGUUUACUAAACAUAAAAGACCUAGCGAAGGUGUUCUUCGUGGAUGCUCCCAAUACAAGAUUGUUAAC